rnacentral:rRNA from 1 species
GAAUCACGCUGGCGGCGUGCUCAGACAUGCAAGUGAACGUGAAAGCCCCCUUCGGGGGGCAAGUAGAGUGGCGCACGAGUGAGUAACACGUAGGUAACCUACCUUCGGAUGGGGAAUAACAACCGGAAACGGUUGCUAAUACCGCAUAAUGCAGAGGCACCUAAUGGUGACAGUUGUUAAAGCGGGGGAUCGAAAGACCUCGCGUCUGAAGAGGAGCCUGCGGCGGAUUAGCUAGUUGGUAAGGUAAUGGCUUACCAAGGCGACGAUCCGUAGCCGGCCUGAGAGGGCGGUCGGCCACACUGACACUGACAUACGGGUCAGACUCCUACGGGAGGCAGCAGUCGGGAAUUUUGGGCAAUGGGCGAAAGCCUGACCCAGCAACGCCGCGUGAAGGAUGAAAUCCCUCGGGAUGUAAACUUCGCAAGAACGGGAAGAAUAAGUCGGUGCUAACACCACCGGCGAUGACGGUACCGUUUGUAAGCUCCGGCUAACUCCGUGCCAGCAGCCGCGGUAAUACGGGGGGAGCAAGCGUUGUUCGGAUUUACUGGGCGUAAAGGGCGCGUAGGCGGCCACCGCAAGUCAAUUGUGAAAUCUCCGGGCUUAACUCGGAAAGGUCAACUGAUACUGCGGGGCUAGAGUGCAGAAGGGGCAACUGGAAUUCUCGGUGUAGCGGUGAAAUGCGUAGAUAUCGAGAGGAACACCUGCGGCGAAGGCGGGUUGCUGGGCUGACACUGACGCUGAGGCGCGAAAGCUAGGGGAGCGAACGGGAUUAGAUACCCCGGUAGUCCUAGCCUUAAACGAUGAAUGCUUGGUGUCUGGGGUUUUAAAGUCCCCGGGUGCCGUCGCUAACGCUUUAAGCAUUCCGCCUGGGGAGUACGGUCGCAAGACUGAAACUCAAAGGAAUUGACGGGGACCCGCACAAGCGGUGGAGCAUGUGGUUUAAUUCGACGCAACGCGAAGAACCUUACCUGGGCUAGAAUGCCCGUGACAGCCCCAGAGAUGGGGUCUCCUUGGUAGAACUUGGCACGGUGCAAGGUGCUGCAUGGCUGUCGUCAGCUCGUGUCGUGAGAUGUUGGGUUAAGUCCCGCAACGAGCGCAACCCUUAUCAAUAGUUGCCAGCGGUUCGGCCGGGCACUCUAUUGAGACUGCCGUUGACAAAACGGAGGAAGGUGGGGAUGACGUCAAGUCCUCAUGGCCUUUAUGUCCAGGGCUACACACGUGCUACAAUGGCAGGUACAAACCGUCGCAAACUCGCGAGAGGGAGCCAAUCGGAAAAAGCCUGUCUCAGUUCGGAUUGGAGUCUGCAACUCGACUC